rnacentral:rRNA from 1 species
CCUACGGGAGGCUGCAGUGGGGAAUAUUGGACAAUGGGCGAAAGCCUGAUCCAGCCAUGCCGCGUGUGUGAAGAAGGCCUUCGGGUUGUAAAGCACUUUCAGUGGGGAAGAAAGCCUUGGGGCUAAUACCCUCGAGGAAGGACAUCACCCACAGAAGAAGCACCGGCUAACUCCGUGCCAGCAGCCGCGGUAAUACGGAGGGUGCGAGCGUUAAUCGGAAUUACUGGGCGUAAAGCGCGCGUAGGCGGUCUGAUAAGCCGGUUGUGAAAGCCCCGGGCUCAACCUGGGAACGGCAUCCGGAACUGUCAGGCUAGAGUGCAGGAGAGGAAGGUAGAAUUCCCGGUGUAGCGGUGAAAUGCGUAGAGAUCGGGAGGAAUAACAGUGGCGAAGGCGGCCUUCUGGACUGACACUGACGCUGAGGUGUGAAAGCGUGGGUAGCAAACAGGAUUAGAUACCCGGGUAGUC